CCUACGGGAGGCAGCAGUGGGGAAUAUUGGGCAAUGGGCGCAAGCCUGACCCAGCAACGCCGCGUGAAGGAAGAAGGCUUUCGGGUUGUAAACUUCUUUUAAGAGGGAAGAGCAGAAGACGGUACCUCUUGAAUAAGCCACGGCUAACUACGUGCCAGCAGCCCCGGUAAUACGGGGGUGGCAAGCGUUGUCCGGAUUUACUGGGGGAAAAGGGCGGGCAGCCGGGAAGACAAGUCAGAUGUGAAAUCCCGGGGCUAAACCGCGGAACUGCAUUUGAAACUGUUUGUCUUGAGUACCGGAGGGGGCAUCGGAAUUCCUGGGGUAGCGGUGAAAUGGG
rnacentral:rRNA from 1 species